rnacentral:rRNA from 1 species
AACGAACGCUGGCGGCAUGCCUAACACAUGCAAGUCGAACGAUUGCCUUCGGGUGAUAGUGGCGCACGGGUGCGUAACGCGGGGGAAUCUGCCCUUAGGUUCGGUAUAACAGCUGGAAACGGCUGCUAAUACCGGAUGAUAUCGCGAGAUCAAAGAUUUAUCGCCUGAGGAUGGGCCCGCGUUGGAUUAGGUAGUUGGUGGGGUAAAGGCCUACCAAGGCGACGAUCCAUAGCUGGUCUGAGAGGAUGAUCAGCCACACUGGGACUGAGACACGGCCCAGACUCCUACGGGAGGCAGCAGUGGGGAAUAUUGGACAAUGGGCGCAAGCCUGAUCCAGCAAUGCCGCGUGAGUGAUGAAGGCCCUAGGGUUGUAAAGCUCUUUUACCCGGGAAGAUAAUGACUGUACCGGGAGAAUAAGCCCCGGCUAACUCCGUG